rnacentral:rRNA from 1 species
UACGAAGGGGGCUAGCGUUGUUCGGAAUCAUCGUGGCGUAAAGCGCACGCAGGCGGAUUGAUAAGUCAGGGGUGAAAUCCCGGAGCUCAACUUCGGAAUUGCCUUUGAUACUGUCUAUCUUCGAGUUCGGGAGAGGUUGGCGGAAUUCCUAGUGUAGAGGUGAAAUGACGCAGAUAUCAGGAAGAACACCCGUGGCGAAGGCGGCUCUCUGGGACGGUACUGACGCUGAGACGCGAAAGCGUGGGGAGCGAACAGG